GGCGUAGGGCGCGAGCGUUGUCCGGAUUUAUUGGGCGUAAAGAGCUCGUAGGCGGCUCGUUGCGUCAACCGUGAAAACCCGGGGCUUAACUUCGGGCUUGCGGUUGAUACGGGCGGGCUGGAGUUCGGUAGGGGAGACUGGAAUUCCUGGUGUAGCGGUGAAAUGCGCAGAUAUCAGGAGGAACACCGGUGGCGAAGGCGGGUCCCUGGGACGGUACGUGACGCUGAGACGCGAAAGCGUGGGGAGCGAACAGG
rnacentral:rRNA from 1 species